GACGAACGCUGGCGGCGUGCUUAACACAUGCAAGUCGAACGGUGAAGGGACCAGCUUGCUGGUUCUGGAUGAGUGGCGAACGGGUGAGUAACACGUGAGUAACCUGCCCCCUUCUUCUGGAUAACCGCAUGAAAGUGUGGCUAAUACGGGAUAUUCUGGGUCUGUCGCAUGGCGGGCCCGGGAAAGAUAUUGCUUCGGUGGGGGAUGGGCUCGCGGCCUAUCAGCUUGUUGGUGGGGUGAUGGCCUACCAAGGCGGUGACGGGUAGCCGGCCUGAGAGGGUGGACGGUCACACGGGGACUGAGACACGGCCCAGACUCCUACGGGAGGCAGCAGUGGGGAAGAUUGCACAAUGGGCGCAAGCCUGAUGCAGCGACGCCGCGUGAGGGAUGGAGGCCUUCGGGUUGUAAACCUCUUUCGCCAGUGAAGCAGGCCUGCUCCGUGUGGGUGGAUUGACGGUAGCUGGAUAAGAAGCGCCGGCUAACUACGUG
rnacentral:rRNA from 1 species